rnacentral:rRNA from 1 species
AACGAACGCUGGCGGCAUGCCUAACACAUGCAAGUCGAACGAGACCUUCGGGUCUAGUGGCGCACGGGUGCGUAACGCGUGGGAACCUGCCCUUAGGUUCGGAAUAACUCCCCGAAAGGGGUGCUAAUACCGGAUAAUGUCUUCGGACCAAAGAUUUAUCGCCUUUGGAUGGGCCCGCGUUGGAUUAGCUAGUUGGUAGGGUAAAAGCCUACCAAGGCGACGAUCCAUAGCUGGUCUGAGAGGAUGAUCAGCCACACUGGGACUGAGACACGGCCCAGACUCCUACGGGAGGCAGCAAUGGGGAAUAUUGGACAAUGGGCGAAAGCCUGAUCCAGCAAUGCCGCGUGAGUUAUGAAGGCCUUAGGGUUGUAAAGCUCUUUUACCCGGGAUGAUAAUGACAGUACCGGGAGAAUAAGCUCCGGCUAACUCCGUG